GAUGAACGCUGGCGGCGUGCCUAAUACAUGCAAGUCGAGCGAACAGAUGAGAAGCUUGCUUCUCUGAUGUUAGCGGCGGACGGGUGAGUAACACGUGGGUAACCUACCUAUAAGACUGGGAUAACUCCGGGAAACCGGGGCUAAUACCGGAUAAUAUUUUGAACCGCAUGGUUCAAUAGUGAAAGACGAUUUCGGCUGUCACUUAUAGAUGGACCCGCGCCGUAUUAGCUAGUUGGUAAGGUAACGGCUUACCAAGGCGACGAUACGUAGCCGACCUGAGAGGGUGAUCGGCCACACUGGAACUGAGACACGGUCCAGACUCCUACGGGAGGCAGCAGUAGGGAAUCUUCCGCAAUGGGCGAAAGCCUGACGGAGCAACGCCGCGUGAGUGAUGAAGGUCUUCGGAUCGUAAAACUCUGUUGUUAGGGAAGAACAAAUUUGUUAGUAACUGAACAAGUCUUGACGGUACCUAACCAGAAAGCCACGGCUAACUACGUGCCAGCAGCCGCGGUAAUACGUAGGUGGCAAGCGUUAUCCGGAAUUAUUGGGCGUAAAGCGCGCGUAGGCGGUUUCUUAAGUCUGAUGUGAAAGCCCACGGCUCAACCGUGGAGGGUCAUUGGAAACUGGGAAACUUGAGUGCAGAAGAGGAGAGUGGAAUUCCAUGUGUAGCGGUGAAAUGCGCAGAGAUAUGGAGGAACACCAGUGGCGAAGGCGGCUCUCUGGUCUGUAACUGACGCUGAUGUGCGAAAGCGUGGGGAUCAAACAGGAUUAGAUACCCUGGUAGUCCACGCCGUAAACGAUGAGUGCUAAGUGUUAGGGGGUUUCCGCCCCUUAGUGCUGCAGCUAACGCAUUAAGCACUCCGCCUGGGGAGUACGACCGCAAGGUUGAAACUCAAAGGAAUUGACGGGGACCCGCACAAGCGGUGGAGCAUGUGGUUUAAUUCGAAGCAACGCGAAGAACCUUACCAAAUCUUGACAUCCUUUGACCGCUCUAGAGAUAGAGUCUUCCCCUUCGGGGGACAAAGUGACAGGUGGUGCAUGGUUGUCGUCAGCUCGUGUCGUGAGAUGUUGGGUUAAGUCCCGUAACGAGCGCAACCCUUAAGCUUAGUUGCCAUCAUUAAGUUGGGCACUCUAGGUUGACUGCCGGUGACAAACCGGAGGAAGGUGGGGAUGACGUCAAAUCAUCAUGCCCCUUAUGAUUUGGGCUACACACGUGCUACAAUGGAUAAUACAAAGGGCAGCGAAUCCGCGAGGCCACGCAAAUCCCAUAAAAUUAUUCUCAGUUCGGAUUGUAGUCUGCAACUCGACUACAUGAAGCUGGAAUCGCUAGUAAUCGUAGAUCAGCAUGCUACGGUGAAUACGUUCCCGGGUCU
rnacentral:rRNA from 1 species